AGACCCGAAACCCGGUGAUCUAGCCAUGGGCAGGUUGAAGGUUGGGUAACACUAACUGGAGGACCGAACCGACUAAUGUUGAAAAAUUAGCGGAUGACCUGUGGCUGGGGGUGAAAGGCCAAUCAAACCGGGAGAUAGCUGGUUCUCCCCGAAAGCUAUUUAGGUAGCGCCUCGUGAAUUCAUCUCCGGGGGUAGAGCACUGUUUCGGCUAGGGGGCCAUCCCGGCUUACCAACCCGAUGCAAACUGCGAAUACCGGAGAAUGUUAUCACGGGAGACACACGGCGGGUGCUAACGUCCGUCGUGAAGAGGGAAACAACCCAGACCGCCAGCUAAGGUCCCAAAGUCAUGGUUAAGUGGGAAACGAUGUGGGAAGGCCCAGACAGCCAGGAUGUUGGCUUAGAAGCAGCCAUCAUUUAAAGAAAGCGUAAUAGCUCACUGGUCGAGUCGGCCUGCGCGGAAGAUGUAACGGGGCUAAACCAUGCACCGAAGCUGCGGCAGCGAACGUAUCACCCAAGACAACUUUACGGAGUUGACGAUUGACGGAGCGAAGCGACGUCAAAGCGUUCAUUAAAGUCGAGUUGGCUUAGGGAUACGUUCGUUGGGUAGGGGAGCGUUCUGUAAGCCUGUGAAGGUGUGUCGUGAGGCAUGCUGGAGGUAUCAGAAGUGCGAAUGCUGACAUAAGUAACGAUAAAGCGGGUGAAAAGCCCGCUCGCCGGAAGACCAAGGGUUCCUGUCCAACGUUAAUCGGGGCAGGGUGAGUCGACCCCUAAGGCGAGGCCGAAAGGCGUAGUCGAUGGGAAACGGGUUAAUAUUCCCGUACUUGGUGUUACUGCGAAGGGGGGACGGAGAAGGCUAUGUUGGCCGGGCGACGGUUGUCCCGGUUUAAGCGUGUAGGUGUGUGUUCCAGGUAAAUCCGGUUCACUUUAACACUGAGGCGUGACGACGAGGCACUACGGUGCUGAAGCAACAAAUGCCCUGCUUCCAGGAAAAGCCUCUAAGCAUCAGGUAACACGAAAUCGUACCCCAAACCGACACAGGUGGUCAGGUAGAGAAUACCAAGGCGCUUGAGAGAACUCGGGUGAAGGAACUAGGCAAAAUGGUGCCGUAACUUCGGGAG
rnacentral:rRNA from 4 species